UAAAGGUACCCGUACCGCAAACCGACACAGGUGGGUGAGGAGAGUAUCCUAAGGCCAGCGAGAGAACUGUUGUUAAGGAACUCGGCAAAAUGACCCCGUAACUUAGGGAUAAGGGGUGCCACCAUCAGGUGGCCGCAGAGAAUAGGCCCAAGCGACUGUUUACCAAAAACAUAGGUUUCUGCUAAGUCGCAAGACGAUGUAUAGGAGCGGACGCCUGCCCGGUGCUGGAAGGUUAAGGGGAUCUGUUAGAGCAAUCGAAGCAGUGAACUUAAGCCCCAGUAAACGGCGGCCGUAACUAUAACGGUCCUAAGGUAGCGAAAUUCCUUGUCGGGUAAGUUCCGACCCGCACGAAAGGCGUAACGAUUUGGGCACUGUCUCA
rnacentral:rRNA from 1 species